rnacentral:rRNA from 1 species
AUUGAACGCUGGCGGCAUGCCUUACACAUGCAAGUCGGACGGCAGCGCGGGGGCAACCCUGGCGGCGAGUGGCGAACGGGUGAGUAAUACAUCGGAACGUGUCCUGGAGUGGGGGAUAGCCCGGCGAAAGCCGGAUUAAUACCGCAUACGCUCUAUGGAGGAAAGCGGGGGCCCGAAAGGCCUCGCGCUCAAGGAGCGGCCGAUGGCGGAUUAGCUAGUUGGUGGGGUAAAGGCCCACCAAGGCGACGAUCCGUAGCUGGUCUGAGAGGACGACCAGCCACACUGGGACUGAGACACGGCCCAGACUCCUACGGGAGGCAGCAGUGGGGAAUUUUGGACAAUGGGGGCAACCCUGAUCCAGCAAUGCCGCGUGUGUGAAGAAGGCCUUCGGGUUGUAAAGCACUUUUGUCCGGAAAGAAAACUUCGUCCCUAAUAUGGAUGGAGGAUGACGGUACCGGAAGAAUAAGCACCGGCUAACUACGUGCCAGCAGCCGCAGUAACAC